CCGAGUAGCUGGAACUACAGGCGCCCGCCAUGAUGCCCGGCUCAUUUUCUGUGUUUUCAGUAGAGACGGGGUUUCACUGUGUUAGCCAGGAAAGUCUUGAUCUCCUGACCUCGUGAUCCUGACCUCGGCCUCCCAAAGUGCUGGGAUUACAGGCGCGAGCCACCGCGCCCGACAGCAGUUAUGAAGUUCUAAAAGCAAGUCUUAAUCAGGAAGUGUCCUUGAUCACCAACGGCUCGCCCAGGCAUGCUGGCUCUCUUCCACUUCCACCUUCCACCAUGGGAUGACGCAGUAAGAAGGCCAUCAGUAGAUGCCAGUCCCUCAACCUUGAACUUUCCAGACGCAGAACUUUAUGCCUCCAUUUUCCUCUGCUGCAUGGCCCCAGGAGAGAUUUUAAUUAGCUUUCUAACCUUGGUCCAGAUUGCACAUGCAAAUGGUAGAGGAUGCAACACCCCCGCUUGUGGAGCUGCCGCUUGUGUCUGGCAUGAAAAUUCACAAGAAGAGAGGAAAUACUGAGGAGAAAAUGGCAGAUUGUGUUUGCUGAAUUUGAUUGACGAAGAAGUCACCAUGAAAAUCACAGUGAACCAUUUGGAAAGCAAACUGCCAAAAAAUAAUAGUUAGUCAUGCUCUCAGGCUGGUUGUUUUGGCUGUUGUGGGUUUCUUGCAUUUCCAGAUGAUUGCAAAGAGCUGUUUCUCAAUUUCUGCAACAAGUGCCAGCUGAAAUUUUGGUACCAGUUUCAUUAAAUAUGUAGAACAAUUUGAGCCUGAGUGAGUUCUGUGGAGCCCAUACUACCUGCGAUUCAAGCCAGCAACCUUGGAAUCUCCCUGAACAAUUUCUAUGGUGUCCAAUCACAUUUGCAAUCACUCCCCACACUCAGUAGGUUCUGCCCCCACAUCAUUUCUUUUCUCUAUCCUCUUUCCCAGCUUUAUAAUAUGACUUAGUUCAAGCCCUAAUCACUGGAUUAUUCAAAGUCCCUUAACAGGUUAAUUCCUACUGUGAUCAACACUUUAAAGGAAGGCAAUAGGGCCAGGCAUGGUGGCUCACGGCUGUAAUCCCAGCACUUUGGGAGGCUGAGGCGAGUGGAUCACAAGGUCGGGAGUUUGAGACCAGCCUGACUAACACAGUGAAACCCCGACUCUACUAAAAAUACAAAAAAUUAGCCAGGUGUGGUCGUGGGUACCUGUAGUCCCAGCUACUAGGGAGGCUGAGGCAGGAGAAUGGCGUGAACCCGAGAGGCGGAGCUUGCAGUGAGCCAAGAUUACGCCACUGCACUCCAGCCUGGGUGACGGAGCGAGACUCCAUCUCAAAAAAAAUAAAAAAUAAAUAAAACAGAAAGGCAAUGGCUAUCCCAAAUUGCUGAAGCCUUUGCUAAAAGCACAGACAGAAAACAACAAUAUGGUGAUGUUUGUGUUAAACAAAUGUUAUUGAUUCUAGGACACAGGUCAGAUGGCAAAUAGUCAAACUCAAAUGUUGAUCCCAGGGGUGGCUGUAUCAUCACUAAGGCCAAAUCACAACUUUGACUGGUCUCAUGGGAACACAGAUCUUGGGUUUGGAAAGAGCACAGGCCUGGCCAUGGGAAUGGACACAGGGUAAUUUUAAGAUGACUAGAGGUUCCUCAAACCCUAAAAGUACCACUGAACCUUGUUUAAAGCUAAAAUGGCUCCUAAAUGAUAGACACGUUUCUCAGUUAUCUCUGCAAACUGAAGAUCCUAUCAGCCUGUUCAGGGUCUCACAGGCCUCUGGGUUUGUACAUGAUGUCCCUACAGUGGCGAUGGGGACUGAUGAGAGCCACCGUUCCCAUUGGAGGAGGGCAAGCUGCCACUGAGUGUCAGCUGCUGGAGUAAACAUCCAAUCACAUGUGUACCUGUAUCCUAUGGAUAUUGGCUUCCCCUCAUACAACUUGUUGUUCCUUUGUUUUCCAUUCCUGACUAUAUUUGAAUCUUUCUUGGAUUUCCAGGAAACAUCUGACUGCUUUCCUAUGCCACUUCAUACCCAAGAGAAGCUCAGGGAGAUCCUUUAAGGUCCUUUAUGCCCAUUAUGAUAGUACAUGAAUAGGUAAAUGUACCACUGCUCCCUGUACUUCUUGGAUAAUGCACAAAUAGUAAGACAGUCUCGCAACCAGCAGCCUAGACAGCCCAAAUAUGUGAAACCAAAACAGCUUGAUCUUCCAGACCUGUUCUGACUCCUUGAGUCUUAAAUCUCCAAGCCUCUUGAAUGUUUCACCCACAGCCUUCCCUUUGGGAUCUGGCAUGGGACAGGAAGGGCAGAGAAGGGCCUGGGGCUUUUCCUCAGGGAUCCACCACAGUCUAGGCCAGUGGGUGGCAAACUUUUUCUGCAAAGGAUCAGCUGGGAGAUAGUUUCAACUUUGUAGUCUCGUCGCAGCUACUCUACUCGACUCUGCCACUGGAGUGUGAAUGCAGUCAUGAAUAAAAGAAUGAAAGUUUUCCAGUGAAACUUUAGUCACAAAAACAGUCUGCAGGCUGUGUCUGGCCCGUGGGCUUUGGUUUGCUGGCCUGCGGGCUCCUAGAAGGCUCUGACUUUAUCCCUCUAUGAGGGAAAGCAGGUUUUGGGGUAUUCUCCCAAAUCUUUAUACCUUAUGUCUGUGUCUCUUUUUAAAUUAAAAGUAAAAUUUAGGCCA
ensembl:lncRNA LINC02864 long intergenic non-protein coding RNA 2864